CAGAGGGUGCAAACGUUGUUCGGAAUUACUGGGCGUAAAGCGCGUGCAGGCGGCUUUGCAAGUCGGACGUGAAAUCCCACGGCUCAACCGUGGAAGUGCAUUCGAAACUGCGAGGCUGGAGUCCUGGAGAGGAAAGUGGAAUACUCGGUGUAGAGGUGAAAUUCGUAGAUAUCGAGUGGAACACCGGUGGCGAAGGCGGCUUUCUGGACAGGUACUGACGCUGAGACGCGAAAGCGUGGGGAGCAAACAGGAUUAGAUACCCUGGUAGUCCACGCCGUAAACGAUGAGUGCUAGGUGUCACGGGCUUUGACCCUCGUGGUGCCGAAGCUAACGCGUUAAGCACUCCGCCUGGGGAGUACGGCCGCAAGGCUA
rnacentral:rRNA from 1 species